AUCCAUUAGUCAUCAUUGUUGCUGCCAUACUUCCACUUCCACGUUGCUCCUGCAAUUACCGGUGCCCAACAAUUUCUGGCCUGCUGUUCCAGCCUUCAGUUCUUCUUCCACCAACGCACCGCCGUGCUCCGCCAGCAUCACUCCAAACUUGACGACGAAGCUGCUGUCCAGACGUGUCAUGAGCCCGAUGCUCAGCAAUUCCAGGCGAGUUCUUAGUCCAGCGAGCAAUCCUCAGCAAAGUUCAAUCACCGAC
rnacentral:lncRNA from 1 species